AAGAGACGUUGCCCUUCGGGGUAUACCUCCCACCCUUUGUUUAUUAUACCUUUGUUGCUUUGGCGGGCCCGUCCUCGGACCACCGGCUUCUGCUGGUCAGUGCCCGCCAGAGGACCUAAAACUCGGUUUGUUAAUAUUGUCUGAGUACUAUAUAAUAGUUA
rnacentral:misc_RNA from 1 species